AUCCAUCUGACAAGUCCCAAAAUAGGACGAAACAUGAGUCCUGGAU
rnacentral:hammerhead_ribozyme from 1 species